CAAUCCAGAUUGCAGAUGAUCGAAAUCUGAUGAUGAAAUUGGCCAACUACGGCACAGCUGUAUGCAUUGUACAAAAAUCUGGCUACCGGUUGUACAUCCUCGUGAUUAUUACGAGUUAUAAACGCCAACGAACCCAACCAAUCAUACGAAGUUUUCAUUUACGAGGAUUUUCGUUGGAGCUGCGGUUGGUGUCGCUUGAAUGGGAAGAGUACCCCGUGGAGCAAGAUAGUUUCCGGUUGUAAUCAAGCGGGAAUAAUUUUUCUGCAACAACAAUAGAAGAUAGAAAUCGGUCGACUCAUCGCCAUUUAGCUAAAAUGCCCCUGCUGUGGAAACAACCUGGACUGUGCCUAUUCCAGCUGCAGUUCAAUCAGGAUUACACCAGCUGCAAGGACGUGCCAUUACGUAAACACUGGAAUUAGGUAUUCCCACGCGCAAGACCGAAAUAUUACCGCCUAUUUAGUGGAUCAUGAAACAGCCACAAUACAGGCAAUCUAAAUCAGGCCACGCAAAGAAAAAAAUCAAGGAUCGGUCCGGCUUUAUUCUGCGCUCACGUAUGGUUUAGGUGCUUUCACCCCACUUACUCGCUUAAAUAUCUUGUUCCGCGUAAACCCUUAAUUGUGAUAUUUGAUAUGAAUGCUCCAGAUUUCUCAGUUAAUUUGACUACAUUUUGUAAUUUCAUGAUCAAAGUACACGGAAAACCGAAGCUUUUACAGCUAUUCGAAUCGUCAAGACUUACUUUUCUAAUGUGUUCGAGACUUCGAGUAGAUAUUGUAUCGUUUGUUUAAAUUAAUGCUCCAAACAAAAAUUUAGGA